UAGAGAACCUCUGAGGAUCCCA
rnacentral:misc_RNA from 1 species